UGAACUGAAAACAUCAUGGCCCCGCCCACUGAACUUCAGCUCAUCCAAUGACAUUAUUUCUUCCUCAUUCUACUGCAGUGGAAGAACAUUGUUCAUCUGCUGUGUGUCUGGCUUUAAGAACUCCAAAGACAUGUUGCUUUACCUCUUUUUGCUUCUAUCUCACAUUCUAGGACUAAAAGCUGCAGACACAAUCUCUCCUGAUCAAGAUGAAGUCAGUGGAAGAGAAGGACGACCUCUCACACUCACAUGUACAUAUCAGACUGAUGCUAACUACGUUUGGCUUUACUGAAACAUCGUCUACAACAACCAGCCUGACCAUCAGCGAGCUAACCCUGGCAGACACAGCUCUCUACUACUGUG